UUGUGGUUCUACUGACUGAAGUGAUCCUAUCUUGUGACUCAUGCAUGGCACGUCUAUAAGUCAAGCUGGAAUCCUCUAAAAUAAGUCACAUGGGAAAAAAUUCUGAUCUUAUUCUAGACGAAGAAUGAAAAGCCAGGAAGCUACAUAACCCAAGCCAUCAAUCCUUUCCCCAGCCCUCACAUUAGGAGCCCUGGGAAGACAUCCAGGGACCUAACAAAGGAACCAGGAGGAGUUUUACAUUUAAGGCAGACAACUAUAAAAUCACUGAAAAGGUUGAAACAGAACCAUUCAAGAGAGGGCCAGACUCAACCACAGAGAAAUCCUCAUUUUAGUUUUCACAGAAACUUGCAUUGAGGGUGGUACAAAGAAGAGAAGACCAGGGAAGAGAAGCUCAUGAAGGAAACAAACAUGGCUGUCUGGUUUGGAAAAGCACAUUUGAUAGUUUAUGAAGUCACAGAGGAGAGUGACUCUUGCCUCGCCACCCACUUAUUCAUCUGGAAGGAGGCUUCCAUGUGCCUUUCUAGGAUUUUAGCACAUGGAAGAAAUGUCCCUACCCAUGCAUACAGAAACGCAUAAGAACAGGAAGUGACGUAUUGUUUAUCAGGAAAAACAGUAUUCAUGUAUUAUUUACAAAAAUUGAGGCUGAUCUCCAAGCUCUACUGUGGAAAGAGUUCAUCAAGUUCCUAGACUGAAGAAAGCUAAUUGGGACCUCAAGAGCAUAACUUAAUCUCAGAGUUGUUCACCUCCGUGCAACGAAGUUGGGCUUUCAAGUAUUCUUUGACUAAGAGCCUGUGCUGGAGAAAGGGGCCACGCUGGGCAGGAAGGAAACCCCUAAGAACUCUGCAGCAGGUGGUAAAGGGAUUCCAGCAGUUGAGGCAGCCUUCCUAAGAGAAAUGCAGGUGCAACAGAAAAACAAAAGCAAACACAAGCCAGGAGAAGGAUGCAGCCAAGGAGAAAAGGGGAUUGGAGGAGAUUUAACAGAGUAUCAACAGGAUCCACUGCAGAAGAGGUAACAAAUUAAAAAAUUAAAAUAUCAUAUCCCAAAAUGGAAAUAAAACAGAUAGAAUGCCGAGUAUAUAUUAAAUAAGGCAAGCUAUUUAUGAUGAGCUAACUCACUUGCAAGUUACCAGAGAGCAUGGAGUAAAUCCUUUAUUUCUCAUGUCCUCAUUGUGCCUAAGACUGCGUUUCUGUACACACAUUAAAAAAACAGGAAAUCAAUGGUUCCCAAUGGUGAUGUGUGAACUCUUCAGGAUCUGGAGGAACAUUAUUAAAUUGCUCCAUUAGCUUUCUCUUGUUUGGGUUGAAAAUAAAAAUUGUGAUGCCAUUUCUACCUAGUUCAUUCUUCCCAAGACUAAACUAAGUCAUGGUUUUCUUACUAAUUAGGCAAUAAUGAGGAUCUUAAAAAUAUUGUAAGAGAAAAAUGUCUUAGCAAUGGAAUAGGCAAUCAGACUAGCAAUCAUGACAGUGCCUGAGGAAGAAAGGAAAG
rnacentral:lncRNA from 1 species